rnacentral:rRNA from 1 species
GGAAGGCGCGUGCCUAUACUGCAGUUCGAGCGCAGGAAACUGAACGGAACUUUUUCGGAGGGAAGGCAGCGGAGUGAGCGGCGGAGGGGUGAGUAACACGUAAGGAACCUGCCUCAAGGAUUGGGAGAACUCCGAGAAAUCGGAGCUAAUACCGGAUAGUUCAUCGGACCGCAUGGUCCGCUGAUGAAAGGCGCUUCGGCGUCACCUUGAGAUGGCCUUGCGGUGCAUUAGCUAGUUGGUGGGGUAACGGCCCACCAAGGCGACGAUGCAUAGCCGACCUGAGAGGGUGAUCGGCCACACUGGGGACUGAGACACGGCCCAGACUCCUACGGGAGGCAGCAGUAGGGAAUCUUCCACAAUGGACGAAAGUCUGAUGGAGCAACGCCGCGUGAGUGAUGAAGGUUUUCGGAUCGUAAAACUCUGUUGUAAGGGAAGAACACGUACGAGAGGGAAUGCUCGUACCUUGACGGUACCUUACGAGAAAGCCACGGCUAACUACGUGCCAGCAGCCGCGGUAAUACGUGGUGGCAAGCGUUGUCCGGAAUUAUUGGGCGUAAAGCGCGCGCAGGCGGCCUUUUAAGUCUGAUGUGAAAGCCCCCGGCUCAACCGGGGAGGGCCAUUGGAAACUGGAAGGCUUGAGUACAGAAGAGAAGAGUGGAAAUUCCACGUGUAGCGGUGAAAUGCGUAGAGAUGUGGGAGGAACACCAGUGGGCGAAGCGACUCUUUUGGUCUGUAACUGACGCUGAGGCGCGAAGCGUGGGGAGCAAACAGAUUAGAUACCCUGGUAGUCCACGCCGUAACGAUGAUGCUAGUGUUUGUGGGGGGGUUCCGCCCCCCCUCCAUGGCCUGAAGCCUAACGCAAUAAGGCACUCCCGCCCUGGGGGAAGUACGGGCCGCAAGGCUGGAACUCAAUGACUGGACGGACCGCCACAAGCGGUGGAUCAUGUGGAUUAUCGAAGCCAACCGCUAGACGUACGACUCUGGACAUUCCAUGACGCUGGAGAUCAGUUUCC